rnacentral:lncRNA from 1 species
ACUCAUCCUCCGCUGCAGGUCGAACUGUAGACACAGAGAGCAACAGACAAAUCCCAGGCCCUCGUCGGGGAAGAAAGGGAUCAUGAAAUAAACAGAAAAAUAAAUGCGAAAUGCGGCCAGCGAUGAAAGCUCAGAAGGCGAGCUUACCCCGGACCCAAACGCGCAAUACUAACCGGGAGUGUAAGGAGGCCACGCCCUCCUCGCGUAUUUGUGCCCAAAUGAGCUGCCUCCCCAGCGUGCACCAAAUUCCUGAGCCACCUGCUCCGAGCUCGAUUUCCCUUUCAAGCUGUGUGUUCUGCGGGGGCAGGGAGAGCUGCAAGGGCUCAUCUUUCAGGACGUGCUGCAAAGGCCCUUUGAAGUCAUCCGCCCUGCUCUUGGCACCUUGCGCCUGGAGCUGAGCUCUUCCAAAAAUGACCCCUGCGCAUUCCGUGGUGCGGCCGCCCAGCCCAGGCAGUCGCGGUCCAGAGCAGGGGAAGCUGCAGCGCGGCCGACAGCUGGGAGAGCCGAGGCCCUGAGGGAGGACCCUGCCUCAAGCCAAGCAACCAGGCCCUGCGGCCCUCUCCCCACCCCUGUGCGGCCCUGGCGCAGGGAACCGGGACGGGGCUUUCAGGCCUUGAAGGGCAGACUUACUCCACCAAACAUUCCCAUCGUCGGCUGAUGGAGGGCCUCGAGCUGGGCGCUGUGGAUGCCCUUCUAGAGAGACCUGCCAGACUGAGCCGCUUCCGUCAGCCAGACAUGAGGAUAAGAGCGUUUAGUGAGGAAAUUGCCUAAUCAUUUGCAGGCUAAGAGGAAAGACCGCACUGCAGAACAACUUAUUUUAAUAGGAAGCACCAAGACUUCUUAUCUUAAUGCUGACGACCGCCCGUUUAUAUUAGAUGAUCCCCUGAGCGUCUCUCCUUUUGUCUCCUUGAGUUUGAACCCUUAAGACCACGUGGACGGUGGGGAAAUCCUCCCUCAACGUGCAUGGCUCAUCUCGCCACGAGGGGGCGCUCCCAGAUCAGAGACACGCGGCUGCCGCCCACCCACCUCGCGGCCGCCACCUCCUGUGCGUGCAUCAUCUUCGCGCACCUGCCCAGAGGGCGGGGCCGGGGGGUCUCCUGCCCCAUUAAGACUCCCUGAAGUCCAGGUGCAGCCCUGAAGGCUAGAGCAAGGUCACUACCGAGGAACAAGAUGUCCUGUGAGACGUCCCGGGAUCUCUGUGAAAACUCUGGACCUCUGGGAAGUCAAUGGGGACUGCACUGAGGGCCUACUGUGUGCCAGGGCUUUAUGUAACCCAAGUUAUUCACUCCACAAACACUGAGGGCCUGCAGAGGUGGCUGUCCAAGAAGGGAAGGAAGCUGAGGGUGAAGGAGGGAGCCUGACCCUCAGACCAGUUUCCCUGGCAGCCAGCAGAGCAUUCUGCAGCAUGCUGCCAAGCAAGAAAGUGGUCUCAGCUGUGCACUAGCUUCAGCCUGCUCCUAGGGGAGCUCUGGAGUGGGAGCUGCACUACCACGAGGUGAGUGACUGGUCUUUUAUGCCCCUAGAUCUGGAGUGGGGAGGGGUAUGACAGCCAGAAUCAGGGGCCUAGAUGUGGCUCCCAUAGCAUCCACCCCAAAUGUCAGCAAUGAUUGUUUUCAGAUUGUGGUUACGUUGAGGAUCCGUCCCUUAGGCAGAGAGCAUGGAGGUGGCUCUCAGAGACACCCUCUCUUCCAGGGCUCCCCAGGGCUCCUCAGUGUCAGCCCCAACUCUUUCAUGAGAGUGUGCUAGGACCUCCUUCUCCAAAAGAAAAUCUCCAGUGAAGAUCAAUGUGUAACCUUGGGAGGUUGAGAUGAGAGAGAUGAUGAGAUGAUAUGGUGGGGAUGCUUUAGGAGUUCCCAAGGCCUGCUGGUGCUCUCUGCAUACUCACCUGUGCCCAAACUGAACCAAGCUCAUUCUCGACGCUUUUCCUCUUUCUCUCUCCCAAUCCAGUCAGGUGCCUUGUCCUGCCGAUUCCAUACCCUUAAUGUUCCCUACCCAGACUGGCAGUUACUGUGUAGUUAGCAGACAAGCAAGGACUUUGGGGGUUACCCUAAAACCCCAACUUAGCUCUUGAGUGAAUCCGGGAAUGUCAGUGUGGAAGGGAUUUUUUGGAUGCAGAAAAGGUUUCUUGCAAGUACUUGUUACUUAAUAUUCAAUGUAAUACAGUAGCUUAAAAAAAAAACCCUAGUCAUUCUUAAGCCUUUAAGUUCAAUUUACAAAACUUAUUAUUCGAUUUCUAUGCAGUCAGUUUCAAGGGGCUUUUGAUUAAUGGUCAAUCGACUCAUACUCGGUUAAAUGAUUCAUACCAUUUGCAAACUUGGUUAAUUAAAUUAUCUUCAACAUUUUACACAGGACUUACUAAUUUAACGUAUUCAAUUUCCUUUUUUAAACACUUUCAUUGCCUGACCUGACAAGCAAAACUUUCCAAAGUACUUAAACCACUUUGGAAAAUCUAAUUUAAAAACUUAUACAACAGUGAAUCUCAAGAUCUCUUAUACAUUCUGGAGUCAUUUAUAAAUUUAGUAUAAAAAGAUUCAUGUGCUUCUCAACGGAAGAAUCACAAGUCUAAACUCAAUUACAUAUUUUAAAUAGGAGUCACAAGGCUAAUUUGUUCAUACUCUAAUAUGCAAAAAAAACCUCUUCAAAGUUGUGAAUACUUUAAAUACCAACUACACAAUAAUAUAGGCUUGACUUCUAAACCUUUGUGGGGUUAAAAGAUAUCUGCCCAGUGAUGGAAAAGUUCCCCAUUUUAAGGUAAUUGGGGUGACAUCUUUCAGUACAUUGUACUACCUCAGGGGCAAAGGUUUCAUAUUGUGGCAGAAACUGCUGGAUCUCUAAUAUCCGUGCUCCCCUGCCUCCUUAGAAAUAGAACCUCAGACUCUAAAUGGGCCAAUUGGCUACCUAGAAUAAAGAUGGCAUUUCCCAGCCUCCUUGUAUCUGAGUGUGGCCAUGUGACUCAGAUCUGGCCAGUGAGAUAAGCAGAAAUGUUACAUAGCAACUUCCAGAAAGGACAGCUGACGCGUAUGUCCUUUCCCCCUCUUUUUUAUUUGUUCCUCCAUCUUGCCACCUGGACCAUAGAUGUUGAUAUAGUUUGGAUAUUUGCCCCUGUCCACAUUUCAUGUUGAGUUGUAAUCCCCAAUGCUGGAGAUGGGGCCUGGUGGGAGGUGUUUGGAUCAUAAGGGCGGAUCCCUUGUGUGUGUCUUGGGCCAUCCCCUUGGUGGUGAGCGAGCUCUCGCUCUGAGUUCACAGGAGAUCUGGUCAUUGAAAAGUGUGUGUGGCACCUCCCUCGACCCCUGUCUCUCUCUCUCUUGCUCCUGCUUUCAUUAUGUGACGUGCCUGCUCCUCUUUCACGUUCCACCAGGAUUGUAAGCUUCCUGAGGCCUCCCUAGAAGCCGAGCUGAUGCCAGCACUAUGCUUCCUGUACGGCCCGCAGAACCAUAAGCCAAUUAAACUGCUUUCUUUAUAAAUUACCCAGUAUCAGGUAUUCUUUGUAGCAAUGCAAGAACAGCCUAACACAGGUGGAGUGGUCAGAUUCCAGUCACUGUCUUGGACCUGGAGGUCCAGGGUCCCCCUUUAGGGCUGGUGGUGUGAUGUGCUAUAGAAGAAUCUUGGGAUUCUGACAACUUCAUGAACAGCAUGUCCACUUCAACCUGUGAGAGAUUGUUUGGGAAGAUCCCUCCCAUCCCAGUGCUUCUUGGCAAUGUGACUUUGCCCUCUUCCCAUCAAGAGAUAAAGUCUGUUUCCCUCCCUUGAAUUGGAUGUGUCCCUGAAUCAACCCAGCACUGUGCUCCCACCUCCGUGUGGCAAAAUUGGCAUUGGGUGACUUUUGGGGCCUGACACUCCCAUGUGAGAAAGACAGCCUAGCCUCCCAGAAGAUGAGGGUCUCCAGCCAGGAGCACCAGCUGCUGGCACUGGAGUGAGCCCAUGUAGGACCCUUCUGCCCAGGCCACCUUCCAGUUGCCUGCAGUUUCAGAAGGGAGCCCAGGAGAAACCCACAGGGGAAGUUCACCAAUGUGCAAAACAUGAAGUGUAAAUUGUUGUUUUCAGCCACCAAGUUUUAGGGUGGUUUGUUGAUGCAGUGAAAGCUAAAUAAAAUCCAGCCCUGGGCUGCCCACCUCUGACUUUUUCAUGAGAAAGAAACUUUGAUCUUGUUUAAGGCAUGAUGGUUUUUGGUCUUGGGUGAACGGAAUCCUGAUGCACACAUGCACCUCUGGACCAGAGAUUUUUGCUUUGAUGUGAUACCUCAGUGGCCAGGGUGAUUCUCUCUUGCUGCUGAUGGAUGUGCUGAGCCCUUUUUUUUUUCCAAUCGGUUGCUAUGACAACAAGGGACUCCAUAUCCUCUAAAGAGGUUGGUAUCUUGUGGGCAAUUAGAUUCUGGCCAUACCAUUACCUAAUUCUUCUGUCUGAUCUGAGACCAGAGUUCCCUCCACCUCCCCCCAGCACCCCCGGCACUCCCCGCCUUGCCCUCCUCCUGCCCAGGAGGUUAAAGCUGGCUUCCUUUGCUAAUCUCCUUAUUGCUGAAUUGAAUUCUGAAGCUGUUUCUUGCCCUUGCUGUCUGCUCAGGCUGCAAUUCAGAUAGAUACUUAGAGGCUUCCUUUUGGAUUCUGCAUCUCUCCCUUUCUGGGCUCUGAGCUGUAACAUCCCUUAAGUCAAGUUAGAUACAGAAUGAGAGGCUUCUUCUUCUCCAAGCCUCUGUUUUCUUAUCUGCAAGACGGAGAGAGCUUACCAACCUAACAGGGUUGUUGG